GUCGUUAAACAACAGUCUUCAGUACAUGACAAGUACUCUCCUUUUCAUUUCGUUCUGUUUAUUUUCAUAAAAUAUCUUUAUACUCCCAUUUAGAACCAUGAUGAAGAUCGUAUGAAGAAAAUUUGGAGUUUCUUCGGCGGCGGUGCACCACUCCGUAGUCCGUAUACACUGUAGAUUGGUACAACUAGGUUUCCCGGGAAGAGUCGACGCUUAGAUCUUGCCAUAAUAUUGGAAAAACAAAAAAACUGAAAUAAUUAUGCAAUAUCCUUGUAUAAUGUCAACCCGGACCCGGAGGACGAUUGGCAGCAUCAAUAAGAAGAUCAUCUGAAUAACAAUAUAAUAGUGUCACAAGGCUGUGUUUGUUUAAUACUAUAAUUUUUUGAGCAGUAGUACAGUAUAUUAUGAAUAUUUACUUAAAUUAUAUUUAAUUUUUAUGGUUUUUUAUCAGAUAAUAUACUGUACUACGGUUUUAGGUGUUCUCUUUAUUUUAAUAAUAAGUCGAUAAAUUACUAAUUUUUUCAAUUUUUUUACUUAUCACAUAGCUAGUUCGUCUUUGUGUAUGUUUAAAUUUAUAUUAUUUAUAGUUAUUGUGCUGUUUAACUUUCUUAUAAAAGAGAGUGAGGAAUUUAAAAGGUGGCCACCGAACAGAAAGUUAAACUGCAAUAUACUAUAAUGUUUUUAGUUCUUGUUUACAUUUUUAACUGAUAAAUUAUGAAUAUAAAAUUUAAAAUUAAUUUAAAUUCAAAAAUAAAAGAACACCAAUAUAGAUUUCUUAAACAUUAAAAUUUGUCUAUAAGUUUAAAUUACAUUUAAUCUGCACAUUAGUUGAAGUUUUAUAGGAACCGAACAUUUGGCUGGGCCAUGGACUAUCCACCGACGAAGAAUUUGUCAUUGAGCUGAUGGAAAAUGUGUCGGCACUCGGCUUCGUUUCAACACGGAGGACGUCUGGCAGCAGCAAAAAGAAAUUCAACUGAUAAUCAACUGUCCAAAGGAUUUGUUUUGAAGAAGAAUUUGUCACAAAGUUGAUGGAAAAUGUGUCGGCUGUAUUUCAACACGGAGGACGUCUGGCAGCAGCAAAAAUAAAUUCAACUGAUAAUCAACUAUCAAAAGGAUUUGUUUUGAAGAAGAAGUUGUCACAAAGCUGAUGGGAAAAGUGUCGGCACUCGGCUUCGUUUCAACCCGGAGGAAGAUUGGCAGCAUUAUAGUAUAAGUUUCCCCUUACGCAUUAGCGCUCAUCUCUCAUCCACUCAUCCAACACAUUGACUAUCGCCGGCCGGCAACACACACAUAUUAUACACAUUACCCGUUUUAUAUUAUAUAAAAUUAUUAAUAUCAACAUAGUUUAAGUUAUUGUAUAUUUUUUUUUAUUAUUUGAAUGCAUUCAUAUGAUCAGUUGCGUAUUUAGAAAUUUUAGGAUAAGGGCAACACAUAUUUUGUUGCCUCUCCCCCAUUAAAUAAAAAAAACUUCUAUGCCGCGCAUUGGUCAAACUGUUAAUACCAUAGAAUACCAUGUUAUAUUAAUACUAUAUAGUAUUUUAUAUCUCUAUGGCACACAUUUGUUGUGAAAAAUAUUAAUGAUUGACGUCACUGCGCCAGUACUCAAAAAGUACGAAAUAAAAAUUUGCCGCCCCUCUAAAUCUUUAAAAAUUUGCCGUUCUGGACAACUGGACCCAAAGCCCCUACCUAAAUACGCCCCUACAUAUAAUGCGUUCUCGCUUAAGAUGUGGAUUAGGCCUACUGGGGACACCACAAUAAAAAAACGCGCCUCGUGUAAUACCUCAUAAAGUUAUUAAACAAUACGGACAAUGUUAUUGUACGUCGUUUAAUAGUAAAGGUGGUGUGGAAAAUUACCUAACACUGUUAUUCUUAUCUUAUAGUUACCUUGCAUACAUUUUUUUUAUUAAAUACCAAUUAAAUAAUUAUUUAUAUCAAGAAACGAGAAAUAUUAACGUUUUAUAAAGUAUUACAAUAAAAUAGUUUUGAAAAAAAAUAUUCUUUGACUUGUUAUAAAAAGACUCCAAGUAGUUAUUAUAUUAGUUCUUAUUUUAUAAAGACAUUAACAAAAGCAGUUCAAGUUUAAUAUUGCCAGAAAUCUUGUAUGUAUCUAUUACUUUACUUAAAACAUUGAAUUUACACAUAUUUUUAUU